rnacentral:pre_miRNA from 1 species
GUGACUGGGUUCGUCUGGUGGGUAGAUCUACGUUGAGUCAGUCUAGCACCAUUUGAAUUCAGUUCU